rnacentral:rRNA from 1 species
UACAGAGGUCCCAAGCGUUGUUCGGAUUCACUGGGCGUAAAGCGUGCGCAGGCGGUUUUGUAAGCCAGGUGUGAAAUCCCCGGGCUUAACCUGGGAAUGGCAUUUGGGACUGCAAGGCUGGAGUGUGGCAGAGGAGACUGGAAUUCCUGGUGUAGCAGUGAAAUGCGUAGAUAUCAGGAGGAAUACCGAUGGCGAAGGCAGGUCUCUGGGCUGACACUGACGCUCAUGCACGAAAGCGUGGGGAGCAAACAGG